rnacentral:rRNA from 1 species
UACCCGCGGCAAGACGGAAAGACCCCGUGAACCUUUACUAUAGCUUGACACUGAACAUUGAGCCUUGAUGUGUAGGAUAGGUGGGAGGCUUUGAAGUGUGGACGCCAGUCUGCAUGGAGCCGACCUUGAAAUACCACCCUUUAAUGUUUGAUGUUCUAACGUUGACCCGUAAUCCGGGUUGCGGACAGUGUCUGGUGGGUAGUUUGACUGGGGCGGUCUCCUCCUAAAGAGUAACGGAGGAGCACGAAGGUUGGCUAAUCCUGGUCGGACAUCAGGAGGUUAGUGCAAUGGCAUAAGCCAGCUUGACUGCGAGCGUGACGGCGCGAGCAGGUGCGAAAGCAGGUCAUAGUGAUCCGGUGGUUCUGAAUGGAAGGGCCAUCGCUCAACGGAUAAAAGGUACUCCGGGGAUAACAGGCUGAUACCGCCCAAGAGUUCAUAUCGACGGCGGUGUUUGGCACCUCGAUGUCGGCUCAUCACAUCCUGGGGCUGAAGUAGGUCCCAAGGGUAUGGCUGUUCGCCAUUUAAAGUGGUACGCGAGCUGGGUUUAGAACGUCGUGAGACAGUUCGGUCCCUAUCUGCCGUGGGCGCUGGAGAACUGAGGGGGGCUGCUCCUAGUACGAGAGGACCGGAGUGGACGCAUCACUGGUGUUCGGGUUGUCAUGCCAAUGGCACUGCCCGGUAGCUAAAUGCGGAAGAGAUAAGUGCUGAAAGCAUCUAAGCACGAAACUUGCCCCGAGAUGAGUUCUCCCUGACUCCUUGAGAGUCCUGAAGGAACGUUGAAGACGACGACGUUGAUAGGCCGGGUGUGUAAG